rnacentral:lncRNA from 1 species
GAGAGUGAUUAGAAGUGUGAUUGGGAGAUGAUAGGAAGAUGAUUAUAAGGUACCUGGCUUGUGCCCAUGGCUCUCUGAUAUAAGUCCAACAUAAUGUAAACAGAAAAUAAUAUAAACAGAUUUACUUGAAAAUCUUGUUAGUUGCUAAAUAUCUUUAAAUAGAUAUUCUUUGAUUAUUUUAUAUCUUUAAUAAAAUAUAUCGUAACCGCUCG